rnacentral:rRNA from 1 species
CCUACGGGUGGCAGCAGUAGGGAAUAUUGCACAAUGGGGGAAACCCUGAAGCAGCAACGCCGCGUGGAGGAUGAAGGUUUUAGGAUUGUAAACUCCUUUUGUGAGAGGAGAUAAUGACGGUAUCUCACGAAUAAGCACCGGCGAACUCCGUGCCAGCAGCGGCGGUAAUACGGAGGGUGCAAGCGUUACGCGGAAUGACUGGGUGUAACGAGUGCGCAGGCGGGCUUGUAAGUCAGAUGUGAAAGCCUGUGGCUCAACUAGAGAACUGCAUUUGAAACUAUGAGUCUAGAGUGUGGGAGAGGUAGGUGGAAUUCUUGGUGUAGGGGUGAAAUCCGUAGAUAUCAAGAGGAAUACUCAUGGCGAAGGCGACCUACUGGAACAUUACUGACGCUCAGGCACGAAAGCGUGGGGAGCAAACAGGAUUAGAUACCCUAGUAGUC